CCACGCCGUAAACGAUGAGUGCUAGGUGUUGGGUCCUUUCCGGGACUCAGUGCCGUAGCUAACGCAUUAAGCACUCCGCCUGGGGAGUACGACCGCAAGGUUGAAACUCAAAGGAAUUGACGGGGGCCCGCACAAGCGGUGGAGCAUGUGGUUUAAUUCGAAGCAACGCGAAGAACCUUACCAGGUCUUGACAUCCCAGUGACCGUCCUAGAGAUAGGAUUUUUCUUCGGAACACUGGAGACAGGUGGUGCAUGGUUGU
rnacentral:rRNA from 1 species